rnacentral:rRNA from 1 species
CCUACGGGAGGCAGCAGUGGGGAAUAUUGCACAAUGGGGGAAACCCUGAUGCAGCGACGCCGCGUGAGUGAAGAAGUAUUUCGGUAUGUAAAGCUCUAUCAGCAGGGAAGAAAAUGACGGUACCUGACUAAGAAGCCCCGGCUAACUACGUGCCAGCAGCCGCGGUAAUACGUAGGGGGCAAGCGUUAUCCGGAUUUACUGGGUGUAAAGGGAGCGUAGACGGUGAUGCAAGUCAGAAGUGAAAGCCCGGGGCUCAACUCCGGGACUGCUUUUGAAACUGUGGGACUAGAGUGCAGGAGAGGUAAGCGGAAUUCCUGGUGUAGCGGUGAAAUGCGUAGAUAUCAGGAGGAACACCAGUGGCGAAGGCGGCUUACUGGACUGUAACUGACGUUGAGGCUCGAAAGCGUGGGGAGCAAACAGGAUUAGAUACCCUAGUAGUC